rnacentral:rRNA from 1 species
UACGUAGGGUGCGAGCGUUGUCCGGAAUUAUUGGGCGUAAAGAGCUUGUAGGCGGUUUGUCGCGUCUGCUGUGAAAAUCCGGGGCUCAACCCCGGACUUGCAGUGGGUACGGGCAGACUAGAGUGUGGUAGGGGAGACUGGAAUUCCUGGUGUAGCGGUGAAAUGCGCAGAUAUCAGGAGGAACACCGGUGGCGAAGGCGGGUCUCUGGGCCGAAACUGACGCUGGAGGAGCGAAAGCGUGGGGAGCAAACAGG